rnacentral:rRNA from 1 species
CCGCCUACGGGGGGCAGCAGUGAGGAAUAUUGGUCAAUGGGCUUACGCCUGAACCAGCCAAAUCGCGUGAGGGAAGACUGCCCUAUGGGUUGUAAACCUCUUUUGUCAGGGAGCAAUUGGCGCUACGUGUAGCGUUAUCGAGAGUACCUGAAGAAAAAGCAUCGGCUAACUCCGUGCCAGCAGCCGCGGUAAUACGGAGGAUGCGAGCGUUAUCCGGAUUUAUUGGGUUUAAAGGGUGCGUAGGCGGCUUGGCAAGUCAGUGGUGAAAU